rnacentral:tRNA from 1 species
GGACAUAGCUCAGUUGGUAGAGUGCUUGCAUGACUUCACAUGCAAAAGGUCCUGGGUUCAAUCCCCAGCACCA